AUCAAAACAAAAAUGAGAAAUUCCGCAAUUCUAUAGGGUUGAAUAAAAAUUCGAUUGAUUUUUUUUGUAGUAUGCUUUUUACUUUUUCUUUAUGUUUUUUUUGUCAAAGAUAAGGGUCAUGUCUUAUCUUUUACUUUUAGAGGCUCUAUAUAAGAGCUCUCAAGUCUUUGUAUUCGGUAGAACAUCUUCAAUAAAAAUUUGAAAGCUUGAACCAGUCAAGAUAUAAUAUAGUGGUCAUAUCGUUGUAGCAACUGAAAUUUGCAUAACAUAAAAACCCAAUCUGAUUGUAGGUUGUGAAGUUCGAAGUUGUGAAAGAAAAUCGAAAAGCAUGCGGAUAAAUGGAAGGAUGAGAGAAAGAGAGAAAGAAAAUAUCAAUGAUAUAAGAUUCCAAUAUGUAAGGUCUGUAAGUCAUCUCAUAAAAAACAGUGUAAUAUAGCAUCAAUACUGAUUCAUCCCUAACUAGAUGAAUCCGCUCAUGGAACAAAAAAAAUCAAGAGCCCCGAGCCAAUAAAAACUGAGAAAAUUGACUUAAGAAAAAAUUUCAUUAAGGGCUCCGUUGGAGAAUUCAGACCUAACCAUUAAUCGAGAAGCAAUGGGAACGACGGAACCCGUGAAUAAAGAAAAAGAAGAUUCUAUUGGAAAUGAAUCUUAAUGAUUUAUUGGGUGGGAUGGCGAAACGAACCCAGGAACUAAACUAUUCUUUUAUUCGUAGAGGUCAUGAACUAACCCUACAACUGAAAUAGAUAUUGAAAGAGUAAAUAUUCGCCCGCGAAAGGUUUAUUUUUUGAUUUUAUUGGAUUGAUUCAUUUUGAUCGAUCCGAUAUGGUAAAGGGCAAAACAAAAUAAAGAUUUGUUAUAACGAUAAAAAAAAAAAGACAUUGAGAUUAUCUAUAAAUAGAACAUAAAUGUUUCAAUUCUAUAUCUAAACAUGAUAUACAAAUUUAGAAUAGAUUAAUUAGAUGAACUUUCAAAAAAUCCUAUGCUUCAGUAUAUUAUUCAUUAAAUUCCCCUAUAUCUUGAUAAAAUCGUUUUUAGUCCUUUCAUUCGCGAGGAGCUGGAUGAGAAGAAACUCUCAUGUCCAGUUCUGUAGUAGAGAUGGCAUUGAGAAAGAACCAUCAAUUAUAACCCCAAAAGAACAAGAUUCCGUAAACAACAUAGAGGAAGAAUGAAAGGGAUAUCUUAUCGAGGUAAUCAUAUUUGUUUCGGCAGAUAUGCUCUUCAAGCACUUGAACCCGCUUGGAUCACAUCUAGACAAAUCGAAGCGGGGCGCCGCGCAAUGACACGAAAUGUACGGCGCGGUGGAAAAAUAUGGGUACGUAUCUUUCCAGACAAACCAGUUACACUAAGACCCACGGAAACCCGUAUGGGGUCCGGUAAAGGAUCCCCCGAAUAUUGGGUAGCCGUCGUUAAACCGGGUAGAAUACUUUAUGAAAUGAGUGGAGUAGCUGAAAUAUAGCUCGAAAGGCUAUUUCAAUAGCGGCGUCCAAAAUGCCUAUAAGAACUCAAUUCAUUAUUUCGGGAUAGGAAUGUCGAAACAAAGGAAAUAAAUCUUGGGUAUAAAAAAUGCGGGUCUUUUUUUUUUUUUUUUUCUUUUUUUUUUUACUUUUUACUUCGUCCUUUCAGUGCUUUACUUUAAAUUAAACAUUAAAAAAACGGACUCAAAAAACGAUAUGAUUCAACCUCAAACCCAUUUGAAUGUAGCAGACAAUAGCGGUGCCCGAGAAUUGAUGUGUAUUCGAAUCAUAGGAGCCAGUAAUCGUAGAUAUGCUCAUAUUGGUGACGUUAUUGUUGCUGUGAUCAAGGAAGCAGUACCCAAUACGCCUCUAGAAAGAUCAGAAGUGAUCAGAGCUGUAUUGUACGUACUUGUAAAGAACUCAGACGUGAUAACGGUAUGAUAAUACGGUACGAUGACAAUGCUGCAGUUGUCAUUGAUCACGAAGGAAAUCCAAAGGGAACUCGAGUUUUUGGUGCGAUCGCCCGGGAAUUGAGACAGUUGAAUUUUACUAAAAUAGUUUCAUUAGCACCUGAAGUAUUAUAAGAGGGGACCGCGAUAUAGUGAUAGUAUGAAAGAAAAUAAAAUAGAUAAAUCAAAAUUUAGUAGAGUAUGUCUCACGCAUAUACUUUUAAUAAUUUUCAUAAAAAAAAGAACAUGUUGAUUAUAUCAAAAUUUGGAAGCAACAAAAUUUUCAGUUUAUCAUGGGCAAGGACACUAUUGCUGACAUAAUAACUUCUAUACGAAAUGCUGACAUGAAUAGAAAGGGAACGGUUCGAAUAGCAUCUACUAACAUCACCGAAAACGUUGUUAAAAUCCUUUUGCGAGAGGGUUUUAUCGAAAACGCAAGGAAACUCGUGGAAAACAAAAAAGAGUUUUUGGUUUUAACCCUACGACAUCGAAGGAAUAGGAAAGGGCCGUAUAGACCCAUUUUAAAUUUAAAACGAAUCAGUCGACCCGGUCUACGAAUCUAUUUUAACUAUCGACGAAUUCCUAGAAUUUUAGAUGGGAUGGGGAUUGUAAUUCUCUCUACUUCUCGGGGUAUAAUGACAGACCGAGCGGCUCGACUGGAAAGAAUCGGUGGAGAAAUUUUGUGUUAUAUAUGGUAAUUAUUCUGCUAUCCGAAUUGUAUUUGGAGCUUACUUUUAUGUUGUGAGAAAAAAAAAAAGGGGAGGAUUCCUCGAGGUUUAAUUACCGAAUAACUUACCAAAGGUAUGCUCCGGGUUCUUUUAGAUAGUUUAGAGAGCGAAGUAAGAUUCUAGAUUAUGUUUCAGGAGGGAUGCGACCCGUUUUUCUACAUCUACUCCCGGUGGCUAGAGGCAAAAUUGAAGGAAGUCGUUAUGAUUCAGAUUCAACUGGAGGAUAUAAUAAUAAUAUAUAGACUACACAAAAGGAUUUGAGUGAUUAGGUGAUUUUUCAACAUUCCUUUCAGGGGGAUACAAAUCGCGGUUCAAAAAUUUCAAGAAACUUAUUUUCUUCCAACUUCCAAUAAGUAGAUUCGAAAUUCAUUUAAGGAAUAACAAUUAUGAAAAUAAGGGCUUCAGUUCGUAAAAUUUGUGAAAAAUGUCGACUGAUCCGCAGGAGGGGACGGAUUAUAGUAAUUUGUUCCAACCCGAGACAUAAACAAAGACAAGGAUAAUCUUUCGAAAAGUUUAGAAAGUAACCGAUGAACAAAUCAACAUAAAAGAUCGGUUUUGACAUGAAAUGGAUAUAUCCAUAUAUCUCUGACUUAUAUUUAUGAAAUGAUCAAAUAUGGCAAAAUCUCCACCACGAAGUGGUUCACGUAGGCCGGGACGGAUCGGUUCACGUAAAAGUGGACGUCGAAUACCAAAGGGCGUUAUUCAUGUUCAGCAAGUUUCAACAACACCAUUGUGACUGUUACAGAUGUCCGGGGUCGGGUAAUUUCUUGGUCCUCGGCCGGUACUUGUGGAUUCAGGGGUACAAGAAGAGGUACGCCUUUUGCUGCUCAAACCGCAGCAGGAAAUGCUAUUCGAGCAGUAGCGGAUCAAGGUAUGCAACGAGCAGAAGUCAUGAUAAAGGGUCCUGGUCUCGGAAGAGAUGCGGCAUUACGAGCUAUUCGUAGAAGCGGUAUCCUUUUAAAUUUCGUACGGGAUGUAACCCCUAUGCCACACAAUGGUUGCAGACCCCCUAAAAAAAGACGGGUGUAGAAAUAAACAUUGAAGAGAUUUCAAGAGAAAUAAAUGACUCAAUGAUCUGACAAAUAAUAUUACUAUGGUUCGAGAGAAAGUAAAAGUAUCUACUCGGACACUGCAGUGGAAGUGUGUGAAUCAAGAGCAGACAGUAAGCGUCUUUAUUAUGGGCGCUUUAUUUUGUCUCCACUUAUGAAAGGUCAAGCCGACACAAUAGGCAUUGCGAUGCGAAGAGUUUUGCUUGGAGAAAUAGAAGGAACAUGUAUUACACGCGCAAAAUCUGAGAAAAUCCCACACGAAUAUUCUACCAUAGUGGGUAUUCAAGAAUCGGUACAUGAAAUUUUAAUGAAUUUGAAAGAUAUUGUAUUGAGAAGUAAUCUUUAUGGAACUUGUGACGCGCUUAUUUGUGUCAAAGGCCCGGGAUAUGUAAAUCCUCUUGCCGCCUUCUGUGGAAAUCGUUGAUAAUACGCAGCACAUAGCACAUAGCUAGCCUAAUUGAUUUGUCUAUUGGAUUACAAAUCGAGAGGAGUCGAGGAUAUAAUAUAAAAACGCCAAAUACCUUUCAAGACGGAAAUUGUUAUCCUAUCGAUGCUGUAUUCAUGCCUGUUCGAAAUGCGAAUCAUAGUAUUCAGUCUUAUGGGAAUGGCAAUGAAAAACAAGAGAUCCUUUUUCUAGAAAUAUGGACAAACGGAAGUUUAACUCCUAAAGAAGCACUUCGUGAAGCCUCCCGGAGUUUGAUUGAUUUAUUUAUUCCCUUUCUCCAGGCAGAAGACGAAAACUUACCUUUAGAGAACAAUCAAUACAAGGUUACUUUACCCUUUUUUACUUUUCAUGAUAGAUUGGCUAAACUAACGAAAAAGAAAAAAGAAAUCGCAUUGAAAUCGAUUUUUAUUGACCAAUCAGAAAUGUCUCCCAGGAUCUAUAAUUGUCUCAAAAGUCCAAUAUACAUACAUUAUUCGACCUUUUGAAUACGCGUCAAGAAGACCUUAUGAAAAUUGAACACUUUCGCAUAGAGGAUGUAAAGCAGAUAAUGAGUAUUCUAGAAAAGAAAUAGAAAAGCAUUUCACAAUUGAUUUACCGAAAAAAAAAAAAUUUAAAUCAAUUGAAUUUAGUGCAAUUUUUCUAUUCUUUAGAAAAAAAAAAAAAAAAAACGCGAAAAUUGAAAUGGCUUUGCACCUUUAGACCCGUCUAUAUAUUCAGACCGGAAUUAAAUUGAAUAGAAGUAUCUAGGGAGAAUUCACUUUGACUUUGAAGUGACUACUCCCUAGAUACACACGUCAUGAUAUUUUACAAUUGAAUCAAUUUAAAAAAGACCUAAAGUUAGGGAUUUUUCAAUAGGUAAUGUUGCUCCAAUACCCAAGCACAAGGCCACUGCGGUACCAAUCAAAAAGACGGUUGUCGCUACGGGACGGCGAAAUGGAUUUUGGAAUUUAUUAACAUUUUCCAAAAAGGUACUGUUAAUAAUCCCGUAGGUACUGAAACCAUUAAAAGAACACCCAACAGCUUAUUGGGUACUGUACGAAGUAUUUGAAUACGGGAAAGAAAUACCAUUCGGGUAAGAUUUCCAAAGGAGUUGCAAAUGGAUCCGCGGGUUCACCAAUCAUUGAUGGUUCUAGAACCGCUAAGCCUACGGUACAUGCAAUAGUACCUAGAAUUACUACUGGAAAAAUAUAUAAAAGAUCGUUGGGCCAUGCGGGUUCUCCAUAAUAAUUAUGACCCAUACCCUUAGCCAACUUAGCCCUUAAUACAGGAUCAUUCAAGUCAGGUUUUUUUGUUAUUGGGAUAGGCGAAUUCUUAUAGAUCCAUCCCCCCAAAGAACCGGACAUGAUAAUUUUUCAUCAUCCGGCUCGAGCAAGAAUCAACCAAACUAAAAGGAUACAUAUAAAAAAAGAAAUAGAUAAAAAAAGAAAUAUAGAUUUUCGAAAAUCUAUAUUUUACGCAUAUCGGGAUGAUUCUAUAUGUAAAAUUACCGGAUUCCGUUUUACGAAGUUGCAACUAUCAAUUGCAAGGAAUUCGGUUCUUACAGGUGUAUGCUCCAUACCCAAGUAGGCUUACAAAAUUGAUCAUGAUCAAGAGCUUUCUGGGUCGUCUCAGCCCUUGUGAUUCACCCUUAUCCAAAAACAACAAAAAAAAAAUUGAGCUGAUAUUUUUCUUUUUCGCGUACAAAGGAUUUACUUGUUACUAAUAUAGUAUAGCCGCUGCUCUUCUUUAGACCCCUUGUUUCACUCCGAUAGUAUCAUAAAUCGGGAUCGGUGCAGAAGAAAUGAAUGCAUUUCCAUACUAUUAAGUAAGUAAUCUAGAAUCUAGCUAAACAUAAUCUAGAUUAUGCCACAUCGCUUAUUCUACUGGAUCUUACGGAGCCUGCUCAUGCGCGGCAUGCUUGGGGCUGAUCAUAGAAAAGAUUCUUUUCAAUCGAACCAACCUAUCCUCUCUAUGGGGUGCCGGUUGGAACAAAGACACAUUUGGUCGCGAAUUCCAAUGUAGCAGAUUAAAGACAUAUUUCUGCACGGCCCAAUCAAUAGUUCAAGUCACACACUCCCAUAAUCCAUUUUCUCUUCGGAGAAUUCCCGUCAACUAUUCAUUUCAUUCAUGUCAAAUAAAAAGUCCAAUAUUAUGGAGUUGAGGGGAAAUUUCCAACUCCAUGUCUUAUUCUUUGUCAAUAAUCCAUAUUGUAGCAAUGAAAUAUUAUUGUUCCUCCCCCAAGCAAUAAGAUAAAGGGUUGAUUACAAAUCGCUAUAAUCUAGAUUUUGUAUAAUUUUAUAAAGGGCCAGAAAUACCUUGUUUACGUAUCAUUAGGAAAUGCAUUAACAUAAAUACGGCAGUAAGAAGAGGUAAUACAAAAGUGUGUAAACUAUAAAAACGAGUCAAAGUGGACUGUCCCACACUAGCACUUCCGCGUAAUAACUCUACCAAAGGCGAUCCUAUUACCGGAAUUGCUUCGGGCACGCCUGUUACAAUUUUUACUGCCCAAUAUCCAAUUUGGUCCCAAGGUAAAGAAUAACCUGUUACACCAAAAGAUGCGGUCAAUACAGCCAGAACCACACCUGUAACCCAAGUCAAUUCGCGGGGUUUUUUAAACCCCCGGUGAGAUACACGCGAAAUACGUGCAGGAUUGUCAUUAGGACCAUCAUACUUGCCGACCAUCGAUGAACCGAUCGAAUUAACCACCCGAAGUUAACUUCCGUCAUUAUGUAUUGAACAGAGGCAAAAGCCUCAGUAACGGUCGGGCGGUAGUAAAAAGUCAUAGCAACCCUGUAGCUACUUGUACUAAAAAACAAGUGAGCGUAAUUCCUCCCAGACAAUAAAAUAUGUUGACAUGAGGAGGAACGUAUUUACUAGUUAUAUCAUCUGCAUCGCCUGAAUCUCGAGACGUUCUUCGAACCAAUCGUAGACUUUAUUGAGAUAGGUAAACCAAGAGAACUCCCCUCUGAGAACCGUAUAUGAGAAUUUUAUCUCGUACGGCUCAACAAAACCACCCCAAUACUGGUAUGGAAUAUAAAAUUGGAAACUUCUUAAUUUUUUGAUUCAAUCUUAUCUAAAAAUACGAAAGAAUCAAAAUAAGAAAGCUUUUCUUGUGGUUAUAAUUAGAAUGCCAAAAAAUCAAGUCGACGCGCUUAUCUUUAUGUUGAUCGUUACAGGCCUCUUGAAUCUUCUAUUUACCUAUUUCAUUUUCUUUGAUUUGUUAUUUUGAGUUGUAUGUAAUGCAGCUUGACUUUUGUUUCUUUAUUAUUGAUAGGAAUUUUCUUGUUAAGACCCUAUGAAUCAAUUGAAACCUCAGAUUCAUACUAGAACCACGAUGAUUCAAUAAAACCUUCAAACUAAGUCCAAAGAUUCCAUGAGUAAGAAUCCUUGGAUCAUCAUUUAUUCAAGUUUGUGCUUGAGUAAAAUAAAAGCAGAAAUGGGGAAUUGAAAGAAGAAAAAUCUUGCAAUUGCAAAUUUUGUCUUUGGAAAAUUUUUUGAAUCCGGCCAAGGGGUCUGAAUAUUAAGUAUGAAUCAUAGUUCGAAUACUUCGUGAUCUAUUUCAUAUAUUCCGUGCUCCAGAUACUCGAAUGAAUAUCCGACGGAGUAAAGCCAUCUCGAUCAGACGACAGAUCUAUGCUCUGUACUAUCAAUAGGAUCAAUUCGAACAAGUCGCACACUCAUAUUCCGGAAAUACAGAAAUAAAAAAUUCGCGGUCGAACUACCAAUCAACUAAAAUCAAAAUCCGAUACCUAAAUGCUUAUUAAAAGGUAGUAUUUUGUGAUUCUGUAAAUUUCAUUCUAAUUCAGUGAAAUUCCGUCCAGUAAAACGGACGAAUUAUAAAUCUCCAAAAUAAUAGAUAGGAAUACCGCAAAUAAAGCCAUUGCGACUCCCAUCAAAGGAGUAGUUCCCCAUCCAGGAGCUACUUUACCAUAUUCCGAAUUCAAGGGUUUCAACAAGCCCCCUGCAGAAGUUCUUUUGGACGAGCUCUAGAACUACCCUCAACUGUUUGUGUAGCCAUAAAUCCUAUUUUGUAUUGAUUGAGAUCUGUUGACUUUGUAUACCAUUCCGUGUAAAUAAACGAUCUUAUCAUGGAUCCAGUGUGGUCUUGAAAUUCUAUAAUAAUGGAAACAGCAACCCUAGUCGCCAUCUCUAUAUCUGGGUUACUUGUAAGUUUUACUGGGUACGCCUUAUAUACUGCUUUUGGGCAACCCUCUCAACAACUAAGAGAUCCAUUCGAGGAACACGGGGACUAGUUGAAGUAGAAGUAACGGGCCUCCCGAUAUUGGGAGGCCCAUUACUUCAUUGAGAUAAAAAAAAAAUCAUUUUGUUUUUUUAGUUGGAACUUUAGGCGGUUCUCGAAAAAAGAUAGCGAAAAAAAUGAUCCCUAGAGUCGAGACUAAGAGGAAUGUAUAAACCAAUGCUUCCAUAAAUUCGAUCGUGGUUUCCAAUUAUAGCUUCCAUACCUGUUUAUUGGGAUCAUCCCCCGGAUUAAAGAAAAAAAGAAUCAAAAAGGGCGGCGAUUUAAAUCCAUAUUUCUCCAGUACCUUAUACCUUAUUUUAAAUAAAAAGCACAAAUCGAAAAUAGAAGCAGAAGCGAGAAACUAAAAUAGUAGAGCAAUGCUGCAUCAGACUACUUGUCUUCUUGUAGUUGGAUCUCCAAGUUUUUGGAAUACUCCAAAUUCCACUUGAGCGUCCAAAUCCGGGUCAAUACCAGCAAAAACAUCUCUGAACAAGGUUCUAGCACCAUGCCAAAUGUGUCCGAAGAAGAAAAGCAGAGCAAAUGAAGCGUGUCCAAACGUAAACCAGCCCCUUGGGCUGCUACGAAAAACACCAUCGGAUUCAAAGUAGCACGAUCUAAUUCAAAAAUUUCACCCAAUUGAGCACGUCUAGCAUAUUUUUCACAGUAGCAGGAUCACUAUAACUCACGCCAUUCAGCUCGCCACCAUAGAACUCAACGGUUACACCUACUUGUUCGACACUAUACUUCGAUUCUGCCCUUCGAAAAGGAACGUCGGCUCUAACAAUUCCAUCUCCGUCUACCAAAACAACUGGAAAUGUUCAAAAAAAGUAGGCAUACGACGUACAAAAAGUUCACGCCCUUCUUUAUCUCUAAAUAUAGGGUGUCCUAACCACCCGACAGCUAUUCCAUCCCCGUUAUCCAUGAACCCGCUCUGAAUAAUCCCCCUUUCGCAGGAUUAUUCCGAUGUAAUCAUAAAAAGCUAAUUUUUCAGGAAUUUUAGACCAAGCUUCUGAUAAACUUUGAUUUCGGCUAGUCCAGCACUGACUCUUCGAUAUAUUUCUUGCUGAAGUAUCCCUGAUCCCAUUGAUAACGGGUGGGACCAAAUAAUUCGAUGGGGGUAGUUGCUGACCCAUACCACAUAGUUCCAGCAACAACAAACGCUGCAAAAAAGACAGCAGCGAUGCUGCUGGAAAGAACGGUUUCAAUAUUGCCCAUACGUAAUCCUUUGUAUAAGCGUUGUGGCGGGCGGACGCUGAGAUGGAAUAAGCCUGCUAAUAUGCCCAAUGUCCCUGCCGCAAUAUGAUGAGAGGCUAUCCUCCUGGAACAAAAGGAUCAAAACCUUCCACACCCCAUGCUGGAUUUAUAGAUUGUACCUUUCCAGUUAGUCCAUACGGAUCAGACACCCAUAUUCCAGGACCAUACAAUCCUGUUACAUGAAAUGUCCCAAAACCAAAGCAAGCCACUCCUGAGAGAAAUAAAUGAAUUCCAAAGAUUUUAGGCAAAUCCAAAGAACGUUUCCUGUACGGUCAUCAACAAAUAUUGCUAGAUCCCAAUACACCCAAUGCCAGAUAGCUGCCAAGAAGCACAAUCCGGAAAACACAAUAUGUGCCCCCGCUACACCUUCGUAACUCCAAAUACCCGGAUUCGUUACUGUCCCCCCUGUAAUACUCCAACCACCCCAUGAAUCGGUUAUUCCUAAACGAGUCAUGAAGGGUAUAACGAACAUGCCUUGUCUCCACAUUGGAUCAAGAACUGGAUCGGAGGGAUCAAAAACAGCUAAUUCAUAUAGAGCCAUUGAACCGGCCCAACCCGCAACCAGGGCUGUAUGCAUUAUAUGGACAGCAAUCAAACGACCGGGAUCAUUCAAUACGACGGUAUGAACACGAUACCAAGGCAAACCCAUGGGACUACCCCUUUAUUAAUAAAAAAUAGACACUAUGUAACUUUAUUGCAUUGAAAAAAACUAUGCUAUGUACCCCUUUUUUCAGGGGAUUAUCUCGAAAAAGGGAUUAAUAUUAAUAUUUGUUCUAUUCUUUUAGUAAUAAUGGAAGAGUUCGGUUCGUAGGAAAAAAGAGAAGCAGAUCUAUUCUAUACUCGAUAAGUACCAAUACGCAAUGGGGGUUGAUUCCCUUUUCUAUGAGCGAAUGUAUCCAUAUUUGGUCAUCAUUCAAAAGACUUAUUCGUAAGAAUUUUCCUUUAUUUUAUGAACUUCGUCAAUCUAUGUAUAAACUAAGAUAACGGCCACUAGUAUUAAGACAAGAAGCCCAUUAUUACGCUUCCACAUCAAAGUGAACUAGAGUACUUAAUUCUUUUUUCUUUCAUUUUAUGCCUAUUGGUGUUCCAAAAGUACCUUAUCGAAGUCCCGGGGACAAGCAUCCAUCUUGGGUUGACAUAUAGUGCGACUUGUCAGAUCUAUUGGGUCAUAUGGGAUUUCCCCGUUCUCUCCCCCGAUCGAGAUAUCCUCUGUUUCGCCCAUAAAAUUGAUUGAAUUAUCAAAAAUUUGUAGCGUGAAAUGCAAUGAAGUGCAAUUAGAUCUAUUUCGUGAGGAAGCAUCCAGAUUAAUAUUAGCAAGAAAUCAAUUUUAUGGUCGUCUUGGCUGGACCAAUAAAAUGAGGUAUCCAGGCUCCGUUUAGAAAACCCAAUUGGUAAUAUAUCUAUGAUUAUUACUUAUAUCAUAAACGAUUCCUUUAUUCGAAAAGCGAUCUCAAACGUUAAUCAACGGAAUGCUAAAUAUGAUGAAUAUGUCAAAUAUUUGGCGGAAGACAUGAAAGAAAUGAAUUAAAAAAGGGGUAAGUCAUAGCAAAAAAGAGACGUGGUAUUGGGGGCAUUUGUCCUAUAUGUGCAAAUCAAAAUCGGGCGAAUCCUUACUCGGAGUAGAGCCUAAACCUAAAAAAAUGGAAGAAGCCCAUUCAAUUCAGGAACAAGAAAAUGGCAUCGUGAUUUUUGGAUCGGAUCUCGAUGAAAAAUACAUCAAUGAAAAGUUAGUUCGAUAAGUUUAGUGAAUUCUUUUUUAUAUUAGAAUAUUAUAGGUCUAGGAAACCGGCUAAACUCAGCGUUCUUGAAAACCGGAAGAAAAGCCCCUCGAUAGAAGCGAGGAAAAAAGAAAGGAAAGGGGCUAGGAGCUACACAUUGAUUCGUUUUUCGCAAGUUUUGUUGAACCGUAUGCAUCAAAGAUGCCUGUACGGCUCCGAAGGGAUACUGUUUUAUCCUAAUCAACCGACUUUAUCGAGAAAGAUUACUUUUUUAGGUCAAUGGUUGAGAGCGAUAUCUCGAAUCAACUUAUUGGUAUUAUGGUAUAUCUCAGUAUAGAGAACGAGACCAAGGAUUUGUAUUUAUUUAUCAACUCUCCUGGCGGAUGGGUAAUACCCGGGAUAGCAAUUUAUGAUACUAUGCAAUUUGUGCGACCCGAUGUACAGACAUAUGCAUGGGAUUGGCCGCCUCCAUGGGGUCUUUUCUCCUGGCCGCCGGAGCAAGUACCAAACGUCUAGCAUUCCCUCACGCUUGGCGCCAAUGAGUUUUUUAUUUGAGAGAAAAAAGAAGACUAUGCCUUCGCCAUAUGAAUUCUUAAUAUUAAGUAAUAAUAGCAUGGCACUUCGAAUUCGAUAUGAAAAUUGUUAGUGUUUUUUUUUCAAAAUAUUUGAUUAUGUAUCGAAGCAGUAGUAUGAGAUAAAGAAGGGGUAUUCCGAGUUUAUCUUACCUAUCGGAGGCCUAUUGCAGCGCCACACACCUUUUUCACACCGGAAGGUUCUUAACAAUUAACAAUUCACAAGAUUUAUGGUAUGAAAGAGUACGAAAAUAAAAAAAAGAAGAUUAUUUUUGAUUUAUUUCUUUUUUUAUUUUGAUUGAAAAAAAAAAAAGAAACUUUGGGAUUGCUGAAUCACAAAAGAAAUAAAUAUAUAAAGCAACGGAGCCAUCAUAGUAUUUUUGAACUCCUCAAAAAAAAAGAAGGGUGGUAAUUGGGUCAUUUACCCAUCUGGGUAUAAUAGAACCCCCUUUUUAUCCUUGUUGAUGAAGGGUAAAAAGCAAAUUCCAUUGGCGAGCCAUAUG
rnacentral:lncRNA from 1 species